rnacentral:rRNA from 1 species
CCUACGGGAGGCAGCAGUAGGGAAUAUUGCACAAUGGGGGAAACCCUGAUGCAGCAACGCCGCGUGGAUGAUGAAGUAUUUCGGAUUGUAAAGCUCUAUCAGCAGGGAAGAAAAUGACGGUACCUAACGAAUAAGCACCGGCUAACUACGUGCCAGCAGCCGCGGUAAUACGGAGGGGGCAAGCGUUAGUCGGAUUCACUGGGUGUAAAGAGCGCGUAGGCGGGAAAGCAAGUCAGAUGUGAAAGCCUGUGGCUUAACCAUAGAACUGCAUUUGAAACUGUUAAGCUAGAGUAUAGGAGAGGUAAGUGGAAUUCCUGGUGUAGGGGUGAAAUGCGUAGAGAUUAGGAGGAACACUAGUGGCGAAGGCGACUUACUGGAACGUAACUGACGCUGAGGCGCGAAAGCGUGGGGAGCAAACAGGAUUAGAUACCCGUGUAGUC